GCGAACGCUGGCGGCAGGCUUAACACCUGCAAGUCGAGCGGGCACUUCGGUGUCAGCGGCAGACGGGUGAGUAACACGUGGGAACGUACCCUUUGGUUCGGAAUAACGCUGGGAAACUAGCGCUAAUACCGGAUACGCCCUUUUGGGGAAAGGCUUGCUGCCGAAGGAUCGGCCCGCGUCUGAUUAGCUAGUUGGUGGGGUAAUGGCCUACCAAGGCGACGAUCAGUAGCUGGUCUGAGAGGAUGAUCAGCCACACUGGGACUGAGACACGGCCCAGACUCCUACGGGAGGCAGCAGUGGGGAAUAUUGGACAAUGGGCGCAAGCCUGAUCCAGCCAUGCCGCGUGAGUGAUGAAGGCCUUAGGGUUGUAAAGCUCUUUUGUCCGGGACGAUAAUGACGGUACCGGAAGAAUAAGCCCCGGCUAACUUCGUG
rnacentral:rRNA from 1 species